rnacentral:lncRNA from 1 species
UUCUACAUCACUUUUCAGAAUCAAUCCUCGGAUCAGCAACAAUUCAUUGUUUCAGUCGGGGAAAUCGCUUUUGAAAGAAGAAUUUAAACCUAGUUGAUUACUAUUCUCGUGUUGCCUUUUACAACUCUAAUACGAUGGAAUGGCUUGUGUUCGGAUCAACUUUCCAUUUAACCUCGUCUUCUUUCUUCUGAUCAUCUUGGUCAACCUUCCAAGGUCAUCCAUUGAUCCCAGUAAGCAUCCUUUCCCUUCACUUUCCUUUGGUUGGGUAGAAAACAAGAUUAAUUUGUCAGAAAAAGAUAACAAAAACAGUCAAGUUUAAUAAAUUUUCUGUAACGAUGAUAAAAGUACAUGAAUCGAUUCAUUGGUGCAGGCCUGCCAGGACUAGCAGCCACCUAUGGUUUGAUUUAAAUGUUCUCCAAGCAUGGGUUUGCAAUGUAGAGAACAAAAUGAUCUCCGUGGAAAGAGUUCUUCAGUUAACUAAAAUACCCUGUGAAGCUCCACUAGUUCUUGACAAUUGCAGACCAGAAACUGAUUGGCCGUUCGUUACUUACUGCAACAUCAAAAACAGUCUAUUAUUAGAAGAUAAAUAUAUAGAAAUUUCAAUUUUUUCACUCCUAAAACUCAGAAAGUCUGGCAAGCAUGAAUUUUCAAAUUUCAUUGCAGCAGAAGGACGCAAGUGAGUCAAGCAACCAAAACAAUUCUUCCAAUUUCUGGGCUUGAAUCAAUGUGUAUAAAUUUUACAUUUGUCAAGCAGAAAUGGAAAACUUCUUGUGUGAAUUCAUCUCAUGCUUUCUUGGAGAAGAAUAGAGCAAUCGCAUUCUACGUGAAGAAACCGUGCUUCUCUCUUGUUAUUUGCAGCUCCAAGAAAAUGAGUAGAUGGGUGAUGCCUGAGGUAAAUCAUCUUACAUUUCUUUACCAUCAAUUUAUAUUUUCUUAAGGCCCUUGUCAAUUUGGAAUUAUUCAGUACUUGAAGAGAAGAUUUGAACUUGGGCUGGUGUUAGAUUACAUUUAAAUAAAUAAAUGUUUACACCUUCUAAAUGAUAGAAUUAAACCAAUCAUAUAUUGUAGUACCUUAAAUUAUCUUCCUCUACUAAAUGUAAACUUGGAGUAUCUUUUCGUUUAUUGAAACAUUCCAUACUCUCCCUUCUGCAAUUUGGUAUAUUUAGCUUACUGUUUUUCAAUUAAAUAAUUUAUAGUUGUGGAAUUUCAGGCUUUUUCUAUAUGCCUAUAAAAUAUGAAUAAAGUAGUCAGAUAGACUAAAAACAGGGAUUUAAAGACAGACUGAUUUGGCA